rnacentral:rRNA from 1 species
AUGGGGGAGUCCAUCUUCGACAGCGAGGUAGUCCCCUCCUCACUCGUCGAGAUCGCACCCAUCCUCCGCGUCGCCAACGAGGUCGAGGCCGGCAACCCGCGCAUCGCAUACAUCUGCCGCUUCUAUGCCUUCGAGAAGGCCCACCGGCUCAACCCCACCUCCAGCGGCCGCGGCGUGCGCCAGUUCAAGACCGUGCUGCUGCGAAGGCUCGAGAGGGAGAACGACCCCACCCUCAAGGGGAGGGUGCACCAGAUCCUCAUCUACUGGAUCAUCGGCGCCCUCGCAAACGACUCCCAGAUAUUAAGCAGACUCUGCUUUAGGAAAGUCUCACAGUACAGUACUACUAGUAGAUAA